rnacentral:misc_RNA from 1 species
UCUCCGUAGGUGAACCUGCGGAGGGAUCAUUACCGAGCUCAUGCCCUUACGGGUAGAUCUCCCACCCUGUGUUAUUAUUACCUUUGUUGCUUUGGCGGGCCGCCAGGCUCCGGUCAGGCUAUCGGCUUCGGCUGGUAAGCGCCCGCCAGAGGACCCUAUAUCCUGAUUAUUAGUGUCGUCUGAGUACUAUAUAAUAGUUAAAACUUUCAACAACGGACCUCUUGGUUCUG